rnacentral:rRNA from 1 species
UCGAACGGGCUGUUUAUGCAGCCAGUGGCGGACGGGUGAGUAACACGUAGGUGACCUACCCCAAAGUCUGGGACAACUAGGAGAAAUCUUAGCUAAUCCUGGAUGUGGACAUCUACUUUGGUGGAUGUUUAAAGCUUCGGCGCUUUGGGAUGGGCCUGCGGCGCAUCAGGUAGUUGGUGGGGUAAUGGCCUACCAAGCCGACGACGCGUAGCUGGUCUGAGAGGACGAUCAGCCACAGGGGUACUGAGACACGGACCCCACUCCUACGGGAGGCAGCAGUUAGGAAUCUUCCGCAAUGGGCGAAAGCCUGACGGAGCGAUACCGCUUGAAGGACGAAGCCCUUCGGGGUGUAAACUUCUGAACUCGGGACGAUAAUGACGGUACCGAGGUAAUAGCACCGGCUAACUCCGUGCCAGCAGCCGCGGUAAUACGGAGGGUGCGAGCGUUACCCGGAUUUACUGGGUGUAAAGGGCGUGUAGGCGGUCUCUCAAGUCCGAUGCUAAAGACCGAAGCUCAACUUCGGGGGUGCGUUGGAUACUGUGAGGCUAGACGGUCGGAGAGGGUAGCGGAAUUUCCGGAGUAGCGGUGAAAUGCGCAGAUACCGGAAGGAACGCCAAUAGCGAAAGCAGCUACCUGGACGAUUUGUGACGCUGAGGCGCGAAAGCGUGGGGAGCAAACCGGAUUAGAUACCCGGGUAGUCCACGCCCUAAACGAUGAGUGCUGGGUGUCCGACAUCUGUUGGGUGCCGUAGCUAACGCGUUAAGCACUCCACCUGGGAAGUACGGUCGCAAGACUGAAACUCAAAGGAAUUGACGGGGGCCCGCACAAGCGGUGGAGCAUGUGGUUUAAUUCGAAGCAACGCGCAGAACCUUUACCAGGUCUUGACAUCCACGGAACCCUGGUGAAAGCCGGGGGUGCCCGCAAGGGAGCCGUGAGACAGGUGCUGCAUGGUUCGUCGU